AUACGGAGGGUCCAAGCGUUAUCCGGAAUCAUUGGGUUUAAAGGGUCCGCAGGCGGUCAAUUAAGUCAGAGGUGAAAGCCCAUCGCUCAACGAUGGAACUGCCUUUGAUACUGGGUGACUUGAGUUAUACGGAAGUAGAUAGAAUAAGUAGUGUAGCGGUGAAAUGCAUAGAUAUUACUUAGAAUACCGAUUGCGAAGGCAGUCUACUACGUAUAUACUGACGCUGAGGGACGAAAGCGUGGGGAGCGAACAGGAUUAGAUACCCUAGUAGUCC
rnacentral:rRNA from 1 species